GGUCUAGUAGCAUAGUGGCAAUGCACCAGAAUCCAUUAUAAUGUUUGGCUCUCUCAAUUAUUCUAGGCACCCUUGUUCGACUCAAGGCUGGACCA